rnacentral:lncRNA from 1 species
CUGGCCCUCCUUCCUCUCCCCUUUAGGUCUUGCUGAUUUCUGUCCUCCAGGUCUUCUCAGUAGAAUGAGGAUAAUCCUGAAUUCAGAACAUAUUUCCUGAGUACGGUGAGUGCCCAGGAGAUGGGGGCUGAGAGCUGGCUCCUGCGCUCCUGAGAGCACAGUUUCCUGGGCAGGAGCAGAGAGAAGGCCCAGAGGAAGAUGGGAGGGAGGCAAGGCAAAGGAUGCUGUGGGGAGAGCCCAGAGCUGGGCCGCAGGCCUGAGACCCCUCUGCUGUCCAGUUACAUCGUGGAGAGGACCAUAACAACUGUGACCUUGUGAAAUUCUUCCCAGUGUGCUAAGUCGGUUUUUUUGUUUGUUUUUGUUUUUGUUUGAGAUGGAGCCACGGCUGGAGUCCAGUGGUGCGAUCUCAGCUCAUUGCAACCUCCACUUCCCGGGUUCAAGUGAUUCUCAUGCCUCAGCCUCCCGAGUAACUGGGAUGACAGGUGCAUGCCACUACACCCGGGUAAUUUUUGUAUUUUUAGUACAGAUGGGGUUUCACCAUGUUGGCCAGGCUGGUCUCGAACUCCUGGCCUCAAGUGAUCCGCCCGCCUCGGCCUCCCAAAGUGCUGGGAUUACAGGCGUGAGCCACUGCACUCGGCCGAGCCUGGUUUUCUACCUAUGCUACCUACUUUCUCCAAGGAUGCCCUGCUCUGGAAAUCUUCAAGGGAAUGCCUUUUACCUUAAAGUAGCUCCCCUUCCUCCCUGUCAGGCAUCUUUGCAUAACUCUGAAGAGUUUUGAAGAUGCAAAGUCCUUCCUCUCUGCCCAUUCAGGGAAGCUUCUGGCCGCCCUCGGGGCUGGCAAUGAGGGCAUCCGCGGAUGGCACCUGGCCCACUCAUCAAAUGGCAGCUACCCUCUCUCGUGAUGAUUGUCAGCAUCUAGUGUGAAAGAUGGGAAGAGCCUACAUCAAUUCUUUUUUUUUUUUUUCUUUAAGAGAUGUAAUUGCCCAGGCUGGUCUUGAACUCCUAGACUCAAGCCAUCUGCCUGCCUCAGCCUCCUAAAAUGCUGGGAUUACAGGUGUGUGCCCCCAAGCCCAGCCUGCACUGGAUUCUCAUUCUGAUGUUACAAGGUGGAUGGGGCCAUGAUAGAGGUUUGAGCCAGCAGGGAGGGUGUGGCACGAGGCCUGAUGGCUUCUUGGAGGAGGAGGUGUUUGAACUAGGCCAUCGGAGACAGAACAGAUUCACUGGGAAAGUAGCUGUGUGUGCCAGGUGCACCAGCCGGGCUGCCAAGUGCUGAUUUGUAGAAAUUCUCUGGGGGGUUCUCUGAGUGAGGAAGAAGGAUCCAUGGGGCCUGGGCAAGGCUAGAAGUGAUAGCCUGGGAAACAGUCUCAGGAGUACAGUUUCUUCCUUUUUCUCUUACUUGUUGAAGCCUAAUUUACAUAUUAUCAAAUGCACCAGUCGCAAUGAGUUUUAAAAAUGUUUUGGCAGCUUUAUGUAAGUAUAACUGACAGAUAACCCACACUCAUUCAAAAUGUACAAUUUGACCAGGCACGGCAGCUCAUGCCUGUAAUCCCAAUACUUUAGGAGGCCGAGACAGGUGGAUCACCUGAGGUCGGGAGUUUGAGACCAGCCUGGCCAAUAUGGUGAAACCCCGUCUUUACUAAAAAUACAAAAAUUAGCCAGGCGUGGUGGCACAUGCCUGUAAUCCCAGCUACUCAGGAGGCUGAGGCAGGAGAAUCACUUGAACCCGGGAGGCAGAGGUUGCAGUGAGCAGAGAUUGCACCAUUGCACUCCAACCUGGGCGACAAGAGUGAAAUUCCGUCUCAAAAAAAAAGUAAAAUUUGAUGAUUUGGGGCAGAUGUGUCCAUCCAUAGAACCAUCGCCACAGUCAAGAUAAUGAAUAUAUGUAUCACCCCCAAAGUUUCCUCUCUCCCCAUGUAAUCCGUCCCUCCCUCUCUCCCUGUGUAAUCCCUCCCUCCCUCUCUCCCCAUGUAAUCCUUCCCUUCCUCUCGUUCCAUGUAAUCCCUCCCUCCCUCUCAUCCCAUGUAAUCCCUCCCUCCCUCUCUCCCCAUGUAAUCCCUCCCUCCCUCUCUCCCCAUGUAAUCCUUCCCUCCUUCUCUCCCUAUGUAAUCCCUCCCUCCCUCCCCAUGCAAUCCCUCCCACCCUCUCAUCCCAUGUAAUCCCUCCCUCCCUCUCUCCCCAUGUAAUCCCUCCCUCCCUCUCUCCCCAUGUAAUCCCUCCCUCCCUCUCAUCCCAUGUAAUCCCUCUCUCCCUCCCUCAGGCAACCACUAUGCUGAUUUCCAUCACUAUAGAUUAGCUGCUAUUUUCUAGAAUUUUAUAGAAAUUGAAUAAUAUAGUAUUACUCUUUUUUAUCUAGCUUUUUAAAAAAAACUCAUCAUUAUGGCAGGGCACAGUGGCUCAUGCCUGUAAUCCCAGCACUUUGGGAGGCCAAGGCUGGCAGAUCACUUGAGUUCAGGAGCUCAAGAUCAGCCUGGCCAACAUGGCGAAACCCCAUCUCUACUAAAAAUACAAAAAUUAGCUGGGUGUGGUGAUGUGCACCUGUAGUCCCAGCUACUCCAGAGGCAGGAGAAUUGCUUGAAUCCAGGAGGCGGAGGUUGCAAUGAGCGGAGAUAGUGCCACUGCACUCCAGCCUGGGCGACAGAGCAAGAUGCUGUUUCAAAAACAAAAACAAAACAAAACAAACCAACAAAAAACAGAAAAAGUCAAAUAAAACACUUGUGAGCAUUUGUGCAUACCUUGAUGAGGUUUUAAUCUGUAUAUACAGGCGUAUAACCAUCACCCGGGUCAAGACAUGAAACAUUUCCUGGACCCAGAAAGCUCUCCUGUUUCAGGCCAUAUUGCUUCAACUAUUUUGACUCUUAUCACAAUAAGUCAGUUUCAUUCCAUUUAUAUUAAGUUUAUAGAAUUUCAUGCAUAUGUAAUUUUUGUUUUUUUUUAGACAGGGUCUCACUCUGUCAACCAGGCUGGAUUGUGGUGGCACAAUCAUGGUUCACUGCAGUCUCAGCCUCCCCAGUUUGAGUGAUCUUCCCACCUCAGUCCUCCCAGACUCAAGCAAUCCUCCCAUCCUCUCAGCCUCCCGAGUAGCUGGGACUAUAGUCAUGCACCAGCAUGCCCUGCUAAGUUUUUUAUUUUUUGUACAGACAGGGUCUCACUAUGUUGUCCAGUCUUGAACUCCUGGGCUUAAGCAAUCCUCCUGCCUCGGCCUCCCAAAGUGCUGGGAUUAUAAGCACCAGCCACCAUGCCCAGCCAAUAACUUCUAUAAAUGGAAUUAAACUCUUUGCAUAUGAUUUCUUAUGGAAAAAAAAAUGGAAUUAAAGAACAACGCAGGCCAGGCAUGGUGGCUCAUGCCUGUAAUCCCAGCACUUUGGGAGGCUGAGGUGGGUGGAUCACCUGAGGUCAGGAGUUCGAGACCAGCCUGACCAACAUGGUGAAAACCCGCCUCUACUAAAAAUACGAGAAUUAGCCAGGCAUGGUGGCGCAUGCCUGUAAUCCCAGUUACUCCGGAGGCUGAGGCAGGAGAAUCACUUGACCCCGGGAGGCAGAGGUUGAAAUGAGCCGAGAUUGCCCCAUUGCACUCCAGCCUGGGUGACAAGAGCGAAACUCUGUCUCAAAAAAAAAAAGAACAAUGCAAUCUAUUUUUUUGUGUCUAGCUUUUUUUGCAUCACACUAUGUGUCUGUGAUUGACCCGUGUUGUUGCCUGUAUUAGUUUGUUUCUUUUAUUGCUGUUUAGGGUUCCACUGUACAGAUCCACCACAAGGUGUUUACCCAUUCUCCUUCUGAUGGACACUUGGGUUACUUCCAGUUUUGGCUAUUAUAAACAAAGAUGCUAUGAACAUUUGUAUACAAGUCUUUUUAUGGACACAUAUUUUCAUUCUCCUGGGUAAACAGCUAGGAGUGGAAUUUCUGGUUCAUAGAGGAAGUGUUCUUAUUACUAGAAACUGUCAAACACUUUUUCAAAAUGUUUCUACCAUUUUACACCCUCACAAACAAUGUAUGAGAGUUCCAGUUGCUCCACAUUCUUGCCAACAUUUUUGCUCCACAUUCUUGCCAACAUUUGGUAUUGUCAGACCUUUAAUUUUAACCUUUCUGGUGAUAAGCAGCGGUAUUUCAUGGUGGUUUUGUUUUACAUUUCCCUUAUGACUAAUGACUAAUGUUGUAGACCAUUGUUUCAUAUACUUACUAUACUUAAAAAAAUUUAAGCUUUCUGGGCCAGGUGCAGUGGCUUACGCCUGUAAUCCCAGCACUUUGGGAGGCCAAGGCAGGCAGAUCACGAGGUCAGGAGAUCAAGACCAUCCUGGCUAAUGCGGUGAAACUCCGUCUCCACUAAAAAAAAAAAAAAAAUACAAAAAAUUAGCCGGGCGUGGUGGCGGGUGCCUGUACUCCUAGCUACUCCAGAGACUGAGGCAGGAGAAUGGCAUGAACCCGGGAGGCAGAGCUUGCAGUGAGCCGAGAUUGCGCCACUGCACUCCAUCCUGGGUGACAGGGCAAGACUCUGUCUCAAAAAAAAAAAGUUAAGCUUUCUGUUAUUUAUUUUACAAGUAAAACAUGCUGUGCAUGCUUUGUAAUCCCAAUGUUUUGGGAAGAGGCCAGUGUUUAACACAAGCCUGGGCAAGAUCCCACCUCUACAAAAAAAAAAAAAAAAAUUAGCCUGGUAUGGUGGCAACUGUAGUCCCAGCUACUCAGGAGGCUGAGGUGGGAGAAUCACUUGAGCCCAGGAGUUCAAGGCUGCUGUGAGCUGUGGUUGCGCCACUGCACUCCAGCCUGGGUGACAGUGAGAUCCUAUCUUAAAAAAAAAAAAAAAGUAAAACAUGCUUAAUGUAAGACAUUAAGACAUUGGCUGAGUGCAGUGGCUCACACCUGUAAGCCCAGCACUUUGGGAGGCCGAGGCAGAUGGAUCACGAGGUCAAGAGAUGGAGACCAUCCUGGCCAACAUGAUGAAACCCCAUCUCUACUAAAAAUACAUAACUUAGCCAGGCGUGGUGGCGGG